UAAUUAAUAGGAACUGUACAUGUCCAUCAGGAGAUCUUCUUCGAACAGACCCGUAACUAAUCUCUCCUUUGCAGAUAGGGACAGGCAUGCUGAAGAUGCCUGAUGGAAGUGAUGUGCUAGUAACCUCUCCUUCCCAGAUAGGGCGAGGCAUAUUGCUGACUCCUGAUUGAAUGAGGUGAUUGUAAUCGUUCUUAAUAUAAAGGGGGAGGCAUCCUAAAGAAGUCUGGGGGAAGUUACCUACUAGUAAUCUCUCCUUGGCAGAUAGGGACAGGCAUGCUGAAGAUGCCUGAUGGAAGUGACGUGCUAGUAACCUCUCCUUCCAAGAUAGCAAAAGGCAUGUUGACUCCUGAUUGAGUGAGGUGAUUGUAACCGUUCUUCUCUAUAAAGGGGGAGGCAUCCUAAAGAAGUCUGGACAUGUCCAUCAACAGACCUUCUUCAAAAAGAAGAUAUGCUGGAAGUGGAUCUGGGGAACAUUGCAGAGUAGUUGAGAAAGGUAAGGAUAAGGACAGGCAUGCUGAAGAUGCCUGAACAUGCCUGAAGGAAGUGACGUGCUGGCAACCUCUCCUUCCAAGAUAGCGACAGGCAUGUUUGUGAUUCCUGAUUGAGUGAGGUGACUGUAACCACUCCUUCCUAUUAAGGGGGAGACAUCCUAAAGAUGUCUGGGGGAAGUGACCCGUAACUAAUCUCUCCUUUGCAGAUAGGGACAGGCAUGCUGAAGAUGCCUGAUGGAAGUGAUGUGCUAGUAACCUCUCCUUCCAAGAUAGCGACAGGCAUGUUGUUGACUCCUGAUUGAGAGGUGAUUGUAACCGUUCUUCUCUAUGAAGGGGGAGAUUUCCUAAAAAUGUCUGGGGGAAGGGACCCGUUAGUAAUCUCUCUUUUGCAGAUAGGGACAGGCAUGCUGAAGAUGCCUGAUGGAAGUGACGUGCUGGUAACCUCUCCUUCCAAGAUAGCGACAGGCAUGUUGUUGACUCCUGAUUGAGAGGUGAUUGUAACCGUUCUUCUCUAUGAAGGGGGAGAUUUCCUAAAAAUGUCUGGGGGAGUGGACCCGUUAGUAAUCUCUCUUUUGCAGAUAGGGACAGGCAUGCUGAAGAUGCCUGAUGGAAGUGACGUGCUGGUAACCUCUCCUUCCCAGAUAUGGAUAUCUAAAUAGUCUUACCAUAUAUAGUGUGGGAUUAAAGGAUAAUGGUGAGUAUCUGAGUAAGGAUAACAUUAGGAAUUAAACUAAGGUUGCUCAGAUUGUGGUAUGAAAUACCAAAUAUUGGCUUGUAGUGAGUUUGGCAAUGUGCUUGUCAAUCUGGUCAGAACUGGAAGGAUUUGCCUUCUUGAGGUGAGAAUAGCAAACAUAACAAGAAUGUCUUUCCAGGGAAAUGGACAUUUACAGUCAUAAUGAGUGAGAAACAUACAUGUGCUGUAGGCAUACAGCCAAGAACCUGAAUAGGGCCAAUAGCGAUGAAAGAUUCAUGGAAAAAGAAAUGAGCUGGAACCAUCGACAAUCAGAAUUCUGGUAAUGCCAGGACACCAUAAUUUCUACAAAACUACCACUUCUACUGAUUGCGACUGUCUCAGAAUAUUUGACAGUUAAUUAUGACGUACCACAUCUGACUUAGAGACUAAAGAUAGAGAUAUGGCACAUAUAAUGAGUAGGAACUGACCAUGUCCAUCAACAGAUCUUCUUCAAUCAGAAGAUAUGCUGAAAGGGGAUCUGGGGAACAUUGCAGAGUAGUUCAGAAACCUAAGGAUAGGGAGAGGCAUGCUGAAGAUGCCUGAUGGAAGUGAUGUGCUAGUAACCUCUCCUUCCCAGAUAGGGCGAGGCAUAUUGUUGACUCCUGAUUGAAUGAGGUGAUUGAAACCUUUGCCUCCUAUAAAGGAGAAGGCAUCCUAAAGAUGUCUGGGGGAAGUGACCCAGUACUAAUAUCUC